rnacentral:tRNA from 1 species
GUCCCUGUAGUUAAAUGGAUAUAACGGAGGAUUCCUAAUCCUCAAUUACAGGUUCGAUUCCUGUCGGGGGCA